rnacentral:rRNA from 1 species
AACGAACGCUGGCGGCAGGCCUAACACAUGCCAGUCGAGCGAGGACUUCGGUUCUGGCGGCGGACGGGUGAGUAACGCGUGGGAAUGUGCCCUUCUCUACGGAAUAGCCCUGGGAAACUGGGAGUAAUACCGUAUACGCCCUAUUGGGGAAAGAUUUAUCGGAGAAGGAUCAGCCCGCGUUGGAUUAGGUAGUUGGUGGGGUAAUGGCCUACCAAGCCGACGAUCCAUAGCUGGUUUGAGAGGAUGAUCAGCCACACUGGGACUGAGACACGGCCCAGACUCCUACGGGAGGCAGCAGUGGGGAAUCUUAGACAAUGGGGGCAACCCUGAUCUAGCCAUGCCGCGUGAGUGAUGAAGGCCUUAGGGUUGUAAAGCUCUUUCAGCUGGGAAGAUAAUGACGGUACCAGCAGAAGAAGCCCCGGCUAACUCCGUG